rnacentral:rRNA from 1 species
GUCACAAUGGGCGCUAAGCCUGAUGCAGCCAUGCCGCGUGUAUGAAGAAGGCCUUCGGGUUGUAAAGUACUUUCAGCAGUGAGGAAGGUGGGUAUGUUAAUAGCAUACUCAUUUGACGUUAGCUGCAGAAGAAGCACCGGGCUAACUCCCGUGCCAGCAGCCGCGGUAAUACGGAGGGUGCGAGCGUUAAUCGGAAUUACUGGGCGUAAAGCGCAUGCAGGUGGUUUGUUAAGUCUAGAUGUGAAAAGCCCGGGGCUCAACCCUCGGAAUUGCAUUUGAAAACUGGCAAACUAGAGUACUGUAGAGGGGGGUAGAAUUUCAGGUGUAGCGGUGAAAAUGCGUAGAGAUCUGAAGGAAUACCGGUGGCGAAGGCGGCCCCCUGGACAGAUACUGACACUCAGAUGCGAAAGCGUGGGGAGCAAACAGGAUUAGAUACCCUGGUAG